GAUGAACGCUAGCGAUAGGCUUAACACAUGCAAGUCGAGGGGCAGCAUUAUUUUAGCUUGCUAAGAUAGAUGGCGACCGGCGCGCGGGUGCGUAACGCGUAUGCAACCUGCCUGUAAUUAGGGAAUAACCCGGUGAAAGUCGGACUAAUACCCUAUAUUCAUCUUUCUCCGCAUGGAGAGGGAUGGAAAGAUUUAUUGAUUACAGAUGGGCAUGCGUCCCAUUAGCUAGUUGGUAAGGUAACGGCUUACCAAGGCAACGAUGGGUAGGGGGACUGAGAGGUUGACCCCCCACGCUGGUGCUGAGACCGAACUGUCUCCUCGGUGGGUGUUUGAGAAUUUGGUGUGUGGGCGAGAGCUUGACCACCAGUUGGGGUGGGAGAGGUUGGUUGAUGGAACUGUGUUGUGGAGGAUAAUUCCCUUGUGUGCCGGAGGUUUUGUCCUUAUAUUAAUGGGGCGAUCUGUGUGCUGCUCGUGGUUGUGAUAUUUAUUGUACUUGAUGUUUUUGGUUUAGUUUCUUUUUGCUUUUGGAUUUGGUUGGCUUGAGUGGUUGAUUUUGUGUGAAACUAUGAUGUGUGGUCGAUAUGGAGUGUGGCGUUGGGGUUGAUUUGAAUUGGUGUUUGUUGUGUGGUGUUGUGUGUGUCUUGUGUGGAUGUGUCUGCUUUAGAUGUGUAGUGUGGUAUGUGUCGUGGUGGAUUUUGUGUAUGGUUGUUGUUUGUGGUUGUGGGAAAACAAAAAUGAUGUUGUGUGUGUGGGUUGUUGUGUGUUCUUGUUGAAUGUAGUGAUGGAAAAAAUGGUGAGUGUUGGUGUGUGGUUGGAUGGUGUGUCUUGUAGUAUGUGAGCAUGGCGAGCCCAAGACGAUGCGUGCCCCCAUAGUCUUGUUGUGUGUUGCUUGCUGUUUGUGCCUGUAUGUGUGCACACUUGUGAAAUCUGAUAGUAUA
rnacentral:rRNA from 1 species